AUACGGAGGGUGCAAGCGUUAAUCGGAAUUACUGGGCGUAAAGCGCACGCAGGCGGUUUGUUAAGUCAGAUGUGAAAGCCCCGGGCUCAACCUGGGAACUGCAUUUGAUACUGGCAGACUAGAGUAUAGGAGAGAGAAGUGGAAUUCCACAUGUAGCGGUGAAAUGCGUAGAUAUGUGGAGGAACAUCAGUGGCGAAGGCGACUUCUUGGCCUAAUACUGACGCUCAGGUGCGAAAGCGUGGGGAGCAAACAGGAUUAGAUACCCCAGUAGUCC
rnacentral:rRNA from 1 species